CGAUUGCGUGAGCCGGUCGUCUCUCCCCUCUCUCUCUCAUAUUCAUAUAUCUACGCCUGCCUUCCUUUGGGCUUCAUCCAUCCAUCGUCUCCAGCUCAAAGCCUGAAACCACGAAUCAGCUUCUCCUCUCUCUCUCUCUCUCUCUCUUUCUCUCUCUGUAUAUCAAGAAACCCUCGCUCGGUCGGUGCUGGAGGCGGUGGAAAAUCGGCUCAAUGGAGGAGACUGAAAAGCCGGUGGAGAUGGAGGUGGAGGUGCAGGACGCCGAGUCGGAGGAUAUUGCCGAUUCCUUCCUCUGCUGCGUUUGCCUGGAGCUUCUCUACAAGCCUGUUGUGCUAUCUUGUGGUCACAUUUCCUGUUUUUGGUGCGUACAUAAAUCAAUGAGCUGGGCACACGAAUCGCAUUGUCCAAUUUGCCGGCACCCAUAUAUUCACUUUCCAAGCAUCUGUAAGAUGCUUCACUGUUUGCUGAUUAAGAUGUAUCCUGAUGCUUAUAAGAUGAGGGAGAUUCAGAUAUUAGAGGAAGAAAAGAGUACUCGCACUUUCUCGCCGCAGUUUGAUGCUCUUGUGUGCCAUGGUACUGAAGAGGCAAAAGUUGAUGGUUCUUCUCAAUCCUGCACAACAAGUACUCAAUGUGGAUCUUCCCUGCAAGCUGUUUCUUCUAGAGAUGUGGCUAUUCAAGAAGAGAAUGCACCACAAGUUAAGUUGAAUGAAAAUUCCAAGCAGAUUUCAAGAUCUGAUGUGCUCUGUGUGUCAUGCAAGCAACUGCUCUUUCGUCCCAUUGUUCUUAACUGUGGUCAUGUAUAUUGCGAGUCUUGUCUCAUUGUUCCGGCUGAUGAGAAACUGAAGUGUCAAGUAUGCCAAAGUCUACAUCCAGGGGAACUCCCUAAUGUUUGCUUGGAGCUUAAUCACUUUUUGGAAGAACAAUUCCCUGAAGAAUAUGCUAUGAAGAGAUGUGCGGCUCAACUCAGAGAGAAAACCUUGCACAGUGAAAGCUCAAAAGCCUAUGUGCAUGGAACUCACAAAGAUGAAGAUCGGAAAUCAUUGUGGUCUGGGAAGGUUCACAUUGGAGUGGGUUGUGAUUACUGUGGAAUGGUCCCAAUCAUCGGGGACCGAUACAGAUGUCUGGACUGCAUAGAGAAGAUUGGGUUUGAUCUCUGUGGGGACUGCUACAACUCCCGGUCCAAGCUCCCUGGCCGGUUCAACCAACAACACAAGCCCGAGCACAUAUUUCAGUUGAUGAGGCCAAACCCUGAGCAUAAUUUCAUGUGGAGGCUGAGGACUAGCAUUCUGUCUUUUAGUCCAGAUGCUCGAAAUGAAACUGCUCCAAAUGCAUCAUCUCCUGGACCAAUUCCACCCACUGAGGUUCCAGAAGGUUCCGAGCUCGAGCUGUCCCUGCCAUUUCAAUUUGAAGCCGAUGCGGAUGAAGACUCAAGUGAGACAGAAGCAAUUUGAAACUGUGGACCUGUCUUCCAGGAUGGAGGCUGAUGCAUCCAGAAGGCUUUUACAUGACUUUUUUUUGGUUCACGUUGUGCCAAGUGAAGUGGGAGUUACAUGGCAGUUUUUUUUUUUUUUCCAAUCUCUUUGAUUGGAGAGAGCAAGGGGCUAAAUAGAAAUUUCAUUCGUCGGACUCUGGCCACACUUUGUAUAGAUGCAAAUGCAAUGCUAUGUCCUUGGCAUGUAGUAUAACAUGAAAACUUGCAGAAUUAUCCGUCUUGUGACGGGGAUCCAGCAUGCGAUUGCCUUCUUACAUAGAGCAAUGCAUACUAUGCAUUGUUUACGUGUUGUAAAUUCUAGUUGGUAAUAAGAGUGGUGAGAUUUUAUUUGAAUUCUCCGGUGCGGUUGCUCUA